AGCGGUAUCGAAUAAUGGUAAUUCACAACCCUUUGAAGGUUGUUAUAUAGGUUCAAAUCCUAUUACCGCUUCCA
rnacentral:tRNA from 1 species